CCCAAGUAGCACGGGGCCCGUGAAAUCCCGUGUGAAUCUGGCGGGACCACCCGUUAAGCCUAAAUAUUCCCUGGUGACCGAUAGCGGAUAGUACCGUGAGGGAAUGGUGAAAAGUACCGCGGGAGCGGAGUGAAAUAGUACCUGAAACCGUGUGCCUACAAGCCGUGGGAGCGUCGCGCAGAGAACUUGUUCUUUGCGUCGUGACUGCGUGCCUUUUGAAGAAUGAGCCUGCGAGUUUGCGGUAUGUUGCGAGGUUAACCCGUGUGGGGAAGCCGUAGCGAAAGCGAGUCCGAAGAGGGCGAUAUAGUAGCGUGCCCAAGACCCGAAGCGGAGUGAUCUAGCCAUGGGCAGGUUGAAGCGGAGGUAAGACUUCGUGGAGGACCGAACCCACCAGGGUUGAAAACCUGGGGGAUGACCUGUGGUUAGGGGUGAAAGGCCAAUCAAACUCCGUGAUAGCUGGUUCUCCCCGAAAUGCAUUUAGGUGCAGCGUCGUGUGUUUCUUGCCGGAGGUAGAGCACUGGAUAGGCGAUGGGCCCUACCGGGUUACUGACCUUAGCCAAACUCCGAAUGCCGGUAAGUGAGAGCGCGGCAGUGAGACUGUGGGGGAUAAGCUCCAUGGUCGAGAGGGAAACAGCCCAGAGCAUCGACUAAGGCCCCUAAGCGUGUGCUAAGUGGGAAAGGAUGUGGAGUCGCAGAGACAACCAGGAGGUUGGCUUAGAAGCAGCCAUCCUUGAAAGAGUGCGUAAUAGCUCACUGGUCAAGUGAUUCCGCGCCGACAAUGUAGCGGGGCUCAAGCACACCGCCGAAGUCAUGUCAUU
rnacentral:rRNA from 1 species